rnacentral:lncRNA from 1 species
CUUUGUUUAUCGAUAAGUCCACUGGUUCAGUCUGUGUUUGGAAAUGAUCUGCAGACAAUGAAUCCUCCGGGGGAUCUGCCUUCAUGUUGUUUAGUAACAAGGGUACAGCUUCCAUAUCUGGGUAGUUGUGGACGUUUGGAGACCCUUGCUCAGAUUCCAGCAGCUCUGUUUUAACUCUGACUGCCGGCAUCCCAUCCAGCAUUAACAUUCUGUUUUCAAAGGCGCUGACGUCUUUUAUGGCUUUCCUCUUCAUAUGAAUAUUCAGUCAUCC